rnacentral:tRNA from 1 species
GGAGAAGUGUCCGAGCGGCUGAAGGAGCACGCCUGGAAAGUGUGUAUACGCUAAAACGUAUCAAGGGUUCGAAUCCCUUCUUCUCCGCCA